UACGUAGGGGGCAAGCGUUGUCCGGAUUUAUUGGGCGUAAAGAGCGUGUAGGCGGCCAGAUAGGUCUGUUGUGAAAACUCGAGGCUCAACCUCGAGACGCCGAUGGAAACCAUUUGGCUAGAGUCCGGAAGAGGAGAGUGGAAUUCCUGGUGUAGCGGUGAAAUGCGCAGAUAUCAGGAGGAACACCGAUGGCGAAGGCAGGUCUCUGGGCUGUAACUGACGCUGAGGAGCGAAAGCAUGGGGAGCGAACAGG
rnacentral:rRNA from 1 species